CGCAGAUACCAGGUGGCUGCAACUGUUUAUUAAAAACACAGCACUGUGCAAAAUCGUAAGAUGACGUAUACGGUGUGACGCCUGCCCGGUGCCGGAAGGUUAAUUGAUGGGGUUAGACUUCGGUCGAAGCGGGUAAGUUCCGACCUGCACGAAUGGCGUAAUGAUGGCCACGCUGUCUCCACCCGAGACUCAGUGAAAUUGAAAUCGCUGUGAAGAUGCAGUGUACCCGCGGCUAGACGGAAAGACCCCGUGAACCUUUACUACAGCUUGGCACUGAACAUUGACCCUACAUGUGUAG
rnacentral:rRNA from 1 species